UUGAGAUAUUUUCUUCUCUCUCCAUCCACGUACACAAAAUGCAGCCUUUUACAUACAUAAACAUAAACAGGCGCGAUCCUUUUAUUCACCUCCUCCUAAGAAUAAUUAGAUCCCCCUCUCCACCCCCCUCUCCCUCUCUGUUAUUCUCCAUCUCCAUGUUCUCUCGUCUUCUUGAUCAAGUUGCUUUCUUACCUCGACGGGCUUAAACUUCCGAGUGUAGUAGUUAGUUUCAAGGUUAUCGAGUGGCUUUGAUUUCUAUCGGAGACGUGGAUUGGUUUUGGUACUUGUAACUACUUUCUGGCAGUAACACUACACAGUUCUCUGAAAAGUAUGAGAGCCAUCUUACUCAAGGGCCAUUGCUUAUGCAACGGUAAAGUUAUUGGCUUGGGUUGCAGAGAAUGCUGUUUUGAAUUUUGUACAAAGUAACUUUAUGGAAAAUGUGAAUGGGUAAGGUCACCUCCAGAUUAAAACUAACUUAGCCCAUAAAAGGUUAGAUUUUGUUGCUGCUUGUUGACACACUCAAACUUAUGAAUGAAUGCCUAAAUUGAAGUUAAUUGAGGCCCAAAGUCACUUAGACCCAAGUUAACAAACUAAAAGAAAUCCGUCUCCAUCAUGUUUUGCCAAGUGCCUCACAUGAGGGAUCUCUAAGUUGCAGGUAUUAAAAUUCUGAAGAAGUAAUUCCAUUUUUAUUUUUCAUGGUUGUGUUAUUAUGUCUGCGAAGUAAGACCAAGUUAAAAUCAUAAAAUCUUUAACAGCAUGGAGGCUCAAAGAGAAAUUUUGGUCACACACACACACACAUGAAUCUUAAAAAAGUUAUCUUUUUAAUCUUUACAGCACAUCUUUUUAUUAUGAGUGGUGGUACAAAUAUAUUGAUUACUGCAAAGGCAACUCAGUGGAUGCUGGAAACACAGAUAAGUGGAAGUUUUUUUUUAUUAAUGUCUUUAGUUUUAAUCUGAAAAUCGAUAUCAAAACAAUACAAGUUCCAUGAAAAUUGUCUCACUAUCCAUUCCCAUCUCCUUUGUUUAAUGUAGUGUAGACACAUGUGAGUAAAACAUAGGUUUGGUAAAGCAUGAAUAUUGGAAGAUGCAUCAGCAUGCACGCUUGCUGACAGUGGUUGUACUUGCCAGUCUUCUGAUUUUUCCACUAAUGAACAUCUAAAUGUCCUUUACAGUUGUGUUGCUCUGGUUCUAAUCACUUGCUUCUGUCACUAUCAAUUCCCAAUUGUUUGUUUUCUCAUGUUUUGAAGUUUGAUGGUAUACUUCAACUUUGGAAUUUCACUUUUGAAAUGGAGAAUUUACUGUUGGCUUCCCAUUAUAUAUUGAUGAGCCAUUUCUGAGAGGCAAUUUUUAGUCUGUGUUAAGAAUUACCUGAGACUUGGAAAUGGCAAGUUACACUGCUUAGAAGCUGCUGUACAUGAAAAUUAUCCAUUUGUUAUUUUAGGACAAAGUUUAACUAAAAUCUUAUAUGAAAAAAAAAGCAGUUAAAACUAAUGUUGCCUUGGGUAACAGCACAACAAUGGCGCUGGAAAAUCUUUGAACAAUGCCAAAGGUAUUGGAUAUUAUCCACUGCUUUUACCGAGGAGUCCUGUCUGCUUAGAGCUCGUCAGCCGAGUUCUAUGCUAGACCUGGCAAAGGGAAAUGAGGAUGUGGCUGGCUCAAUUGGAGCUGGAUUGGGGCAUGCGAGUCAUAUCCAUUUCCUACUGUGCAAGGGGCCUGGGAAGCCCUGUUUGCUUCAUCCACAUUCUGUCUUCCAUAAACCUGGGAUAAGAGUGCGGUUAUGAGUGUUCAGUUUCUAAAAUCCUGAAGUUUAGGUUUCACUUUACUUAAGGCUUGCUGCUCUUGAUAUGGUUCCUAUGCACAAGACAUUAAAUUGUAUUCGAUGUUGAAGAGCUAACUGGUUGUAGGAUUGGGAGUGCAUUCUACGAAGACCGACCAGGUGUAUAUAUUCUGUUAAGGUUCCUUAUUUGGUGGUAAAAGAUUAAGUUCGGAGCUGAAGGGGAGGUGGAAAAUAUUUCUUAGUGAUACAUGUGCUGCCAAGACUUGUACCUCACGCAGUUCUGAAUUUUCUUGACUGACGAGUUUAACCUUCUUGUGCAGCUCAAGGUUUUCUUGAUAAAUUAGAUUACCCUGCAAUGAAGCCAAUGAAAGCCAGUGAACAUGAGAAUGUCUUUACAAUUAAUUCGGGAAUUAUUGAAGUCAAUAGUCUUGGAAAACCUUUCUGUUCAGGUCUUUAAUUUCAUCAGUUAAAAUUUGGUCCUGUGUAAAAAGAAAAAGGCUGCAUCAGCAUUAUGUGCAUGCUGCAUAUGCAUAUAAAAAGUGAUCUUGAGAUCAGGAGGGCUUUACCUUUUUCAUUCGAACUCCUUUCAAACUCAUCUCCAGCUGGUUUUCUAGAUUCUGUAGAUCCUUGGUGCUCAAACCGGACAGUUCUUCUCCCAUCAAUUGCCUGCAAUGUCACAGAGGCAAGUGUUAGGUGUGGUGCCAGAGUCUUAUACUUGUCCAUGAAUAUGGUGCCAUAAAAAAAACCCCGUCCAUAAAUACUUAAAAAGUCUGGUAGCUUUUCUUUUCAGGCGGAUGUGGCUGCAACUGUGAUCAAUGAUAUGAAACAUUUAGAGAUAUUUUUGCCAGUAAGGUUACACGGCUGUAAAUUUUUUGAUCAGACAAACCUGCACAUCAUCAUUUCAAUUCCAGUGGUGAUGUGUUGUUGAGAUAAUCGAUUGAGAAUAUUGGGUGAUUAUUAACUUUA